AUGUACAUGCCUACAACAAAGAAUUAAUGGACCGAAUCCCAUUAUUACUCUGCAGUUAAGUGCACUCAGGUUAGAGUAGAACUGGGAUGGGUGACCACUCGGGAAGUCCUAGUGUUUUACAUG
rnacentral:rRNA from 1 species